UAGUUAGACCAUAAAAAACAAUAGAAGUGAAGCCUUGUCAUUAAUAACUUCAAACCAAUUUUCUAGUUUAGACAACAAAGACCCCUAACCAUUUAUCCACCUUCUAUGAACUUAUUAGUACUAUAAGAGUAAAAGAUGUGGAUGAGGAUGCAACUUAUCUCAAGCUUUUUCCAUUUUCAUUGACAGAAAGAGCCAAAAACGCGGCAACAAUCCUCCCAACUAGAGUUUUAACAAAUGAGAAGAGGUGAGGAGAAAAUUUCUAACAAGAUAUUUUUCCUCCAUCUAAAUAUAUGAGUUAAAAUCAAUUAUAGCCACAUUUUCUCAAAGUGCAGAUG
rnacentral:lncRNA from 1 species